AGGAGUCAUCCAUCAGUCCAGUUGUCCACAGACCCCAUUCCCGAAUGAUACUGUAAAGAAGAUUCCCUGGAGAGCGAGAAGGUCUGAGAGUAAAGAAACUCAUUGGCUGUGCCUAAGUGGGGAGAGGGGGGCUUCCUCUCACACACGGAGGGAUGCACCCUUUCCCUUGGGAAGGACGACGCGGGAACUCUCUCCCUGACCUGAGACGGUGACAGCUGAUUGUAGACCGUGAAGGGGCUGUUGCCUGGUGGCUGGGAACUCUGAGUCGUGAUGGUGGGGAGGCGCGGCAUCAUGGUGGUAGCAGUGAAGUGAGCAGGGAAAGGCUGAUAGGGGACAGUUUCCAUUGUCUGAACGCUGUAGCUGGUGUAAGGUGCAACCGAAGUCCACAUAUUGCAGCUCAAAGGCGGCGGCGGAGGAGGAGGAGGAGGCAAAUCUUCUACUGAUGAGACGCCUGCCAUUUCGGCACUGGAGCUAGAGUACAUGCAGGCAUCCCGCGACGUCACGUCACUGCAGUAAGACGGGCUCAAUAUUUGCUGCUCGUACGGAGGUGGUGAUCGGAAAUAGUGCUCUUCCCCGACAGAAGAGGAGGCUUCCAGAUAAGAGCGUUUGCAGGGUAGAUCCAAAUGCCGGGCACCCUCUGCAUACAUCAGAAGAAAGAAAGAAGCAAAACAAACCAAGAAAUACUUAGCCUGCCAAGUGCACAUGGGCUUCUGCCAAAGCAGCAAAUUGUACAUGGCAAAGCAUUUGCCAUCUGUGGAGAUCAAGGUCUGCUGCUGCUUGCCCAGAACCCUGAGGAGACACAAUCUAACAAAAGUAAGAGCUAAAGCAGGCAAGAAGAAACCCUGUAUGAUGCAUCUGUUGCUGGGCUGUACCAUUUCAGACUGAAAAAGGGUAACAGCGGGACUUGGGACUGAAAAGGGCCAUGGAAAAACACAGCCAGAAGCCCUGAUUAUUGCUAGGAGCCCCCCAGAGUAUUUUGACAAGGAAUAAAUCCAUUAUGCACCAUG